rnacentral:rRNA from 1 species
UACGGGGGGGGCAAGCGUUGUUCGGAAUUACUGGGCGUAAAGGGCGCGUAGGCGGUCAGAUAAGUCAGCUGUGAAAACCUCGGGCUUAACCCGAGGCCUGCAGUUGAAACUGUUUGGCUGGAGUGUGGGAGAGGAGAGUGGAAUUCCCGGUGUAGCGGUGAAAUGCUUAGAUAUGACAUAGAACACCCAUUGCGAAGGCAGCUUACUACACGAUCAUUGACGCUGAGGCACGAAAGCGUGGGGAGCAAACAGG